UGAAUCGAUGAUUGAGAGGGUCGUCUCGACGAAAGAUAUACAAAUUUGGCCAUAGUUUAGAUAAGGAAUACGUCAAUGUAAUAAUAGUGGACUAAAUGUUUCGUCCGUGCAGAAUGGCACUUUUUACCUCACGAAAUUCACCACCAUGCAUAGCUGCGCUACGUAAACAAAGUUGUUGAUGUAGCGUGAUCGUGAUGUCCGAGUGCUGCGAGUUUCAAUACUGUUUAUGUAGUCAUUAAGAGUUUAAACAAAGUUUGUUCUGAGAAGAGGAAUUCGAUGGAUGCAUUCAACGUGGACAACGAAAUCAUUAUUUCGUUUGCAUCAUCCUAAGGACCAGUGCAAGUUGAAAUGGGCUUCCAGCUAACAACUUCAACAGCAAUUUGCCAUGAAAAUCAGCAAGAAAGGUACUUCAUUUACAUUGAUGAUGUCAUAUCCCCUGGACACCACAACUUUACAGGUUACAGAGAAAAUUCAAGAACUUCUGCAAAAUGUGGGACUUGGAUAGAAUCAAUAAUGUAUUUGUGAGCCCAGAGCAAUGGAUAUAUUGUGGAACAUACUAAAGUGAAUUUAAUGGAAAACAAGUACAUGUACUCAUGUAUUACAUGUCUUUUUUAAAGACAAUAACAUUGUAUAAAUAUAGAGGAAGUGUCAUUGUUGAUUAUUCUAAGUUUUUGAUAUAUCAAAAUCAGUAAACAUUUCUAAAUGAAAAUAAAAUACCAAUUUUAUAACUUUAAUCAAUGUGUUUGAAUUUCUCAUUUUCUAACCCCACCCCACCCCCGUUACACACACUCGGUGCAUAUAUACUGUGAAUGCAAUAUGC